AGGGCCCCUGGAGUAAACCUGAGGGGCUCUGGGGAAGGUCAAAGUCUGCUAUCUUGUACCUCCUGAGAGAACAGGGUUGCAAGGUCUCAAGUGGAAGAACCACGGUCCCAAAGCAAGCUGGGAAAAAUGGGGCUGUAAAUCCAUUCCUGCCCAGUGCUGUGACAGCUGUCUUGGCCUGAACCAUGGCUGACAUCUUGCCCAGUGCCAUGGCAACCGUUCUGGCCUGUGCCACGGCUGUCACCUUGGCUAACCCACCCCAAGUGGCCACUGAGUCUACAAGCACACCCCCCUGUCAUUCCAUAUCUGAAUUCACUGCAGGAACGACCUGUGGCAAGGCUUCAGCAUUGCUCAGAAGGAACUGCUCCUGCAUUCAUCUCUGUGUCUGCUCCACCACAAGAACACAGGAGCCAGACAUAUCCAUCCAGCUCAGCUCCCACAAGCUGAUUAACCAUCACACAACUUCCCAGGGGCUUGAGGACAGAUGUUGCCUGGCCAUUAGGGAGGGAAAUCUCUGA
rnacentral:lncRNA from 12 species